AGGACGAACGCUGGCGGCGUGCCUAAUGCAUGCAAGUCGCACGCAGCGCCUUCGGGUGCUGAGUGGCGCACGGCUGAGGAACACGUGGGAAUCUGCCCGACCGUGGGGGAUAACUCGCCGAAAGGCGUGCUAAUCCCGCAUACGCUCGCAAGAGGAAAGCAGUAAUGCGCGGUCGGAGGAGCCUGCGGCCCAUCAGGUAGUUGGCGGGGUAACGGCCCACCAAGCCACUGACGGGUAGCUGGUCUGUGAGGACAACCAGCCAGACUGGGACUGAGACACGGCCCAGACUCCUACGGGAGGCAGCAGCAAGGAAUUUUCGGCAAUGGGGGCAACCCUGACCGAGCAACGCCGCGUGCAGGAUGACGGCCUUCGGGUUGUAAACUGCUUUUGCGGGGGAUGACAUCGACCGUACCCCGCGAAUCAGGCUCGGCUAACUCUGUGCCAGCAGCCGCGGUAAGACAGAGGAGCCAAGCGUUGUCCGGAUUGACUGGGCGUAAAGCGCACGCAGGCGGCAAUGCGCGUGGGGUGUGAAAGCUGGCGGCUUAACUGCCAGAUGCCACCUCAUACGGCAUGGCUCGAGCCUUGCAGAGGUCCACGGAAUUGCCGGUGUAGUGGUGAAAUGCGUAGAGAUCCGCAGGAACACCCAGGGGGAAACCAGUGGACUGGGCAGGAGCUGACGCUCAGGUGCGAAAGCGUGGGGAGCGAACUGGAUUAGAUACCCAGGUAGUCCACGCCGUAAACGAUGAAUACUCGGCAUCUGGGGGGCGAUUUUCGUCCGCCGGGUGCCCCAGCUAACGCGGUAAGUAUUCCGCCUGGGAACUACGAGCGCAAGCUUAAAACUCAAAG
rnacentral:rRNA from 1 species